CAAGAUGCUCAUCAUCCUGGAGGCCUGGUGACUUUGUAAGUAUGUAUGGAAUGGAACCAUUUGUAAAUUUUUAGUGUUCUUUGAAUAAUAUUUAAAACAUAUGCAAUCUGAGAACAGAAAAUAAGGGCUUAAAAUUGACCCAAUUUAAAUGGAUGGUUGUAUUGAUACAGUAAAGUUCCAAUUGAUUGUAUUUGUAUGCAAUAUUGUUAUGUACUAACAUUCCAAUAUACAUUGAAAAUCUGUAGGGGAAGAUUCUCAACUGGUGUAAAUUGUAAGAUCUCCAUUGGCAGUGGAUUGCUGAUAACUUACAGCAGCUGAUGAUCUUCCCCAGAAUGUGUAUGUUUUGGGCUGUUCUUGUAAAGCUCUGAGCAUGUCAAUGUAAAACCAAGAUGGGUUGAGAACACUGCACCUUUCAGGUUUGGACCCCUUCAGAACGUAGAACUGAAUAGUGUAAAUAUCAGCUAGUCCAUGCCAACUGUUUUAUGCUAAAUAAAUUUUCACAGUAAACCUGGGUAUACCUCAAUUAUACAUUGAGAUAUAUAUAAUAUGACAUAGUUACACAUUCUGAUAUAUAUAAUUUUUGGGGGAAAAGUGAGGACAGUUGCACCAAUGCUUAAUUUUGAUGGAUAGUAUGACAGACUGUCAAUUAUUUUACUAUUUAAAAUAUAGCUUUAUUGAGAUAUAUUAUUUAAUAUAGAUAUAAUACAUCAAAACACGUAUAGCACUACAUAUAUUCCCUUCUUAAGUAAAAGAACAGUUUUAGGGUCAUUUUUGCAAUGAGAUACAUUAGCUUAUAUAGUAUCUCUAUCUCUUUCUGUAUAGAUACAACAUAUAUAAAACAUAACAUUUGAUAAAGCCCACUUUAAAUACCAUUGAGAUUUUUCUCAUAUUCAAAUAUUUCAUUACUUUCUGUCCAAUUUCUACUUUUAAAAUUGUAAUUUAAUACGAUGACAGAAUCCAAGAUGAACUCUAGGAGAACCACAACUCCAGCACAUUAACUAAGAUGGGUUUGUGGGAGAGCAGGAUUGGGCCUAUAUCCUUUUCGGAAAUGCUGUACCUUAAACCCAUAGGACAUGGAAGAGUAAGACAAAAGUAUGGAAAAAUCUUUCAAUUUAAGUACACAGUGGCAAAUUAUGCUUAUUAUGUAAUGAACUGCAGACAUUCAUUUAAUGAAAAAUCAAUAAGCUUUAUUCAAAACAAGCAAAAUUACAGAUUAGCACCCUUGUUUAAUCCUUUAUCUUGGCCUUCAAUAUGCUAGGUUUUUUUCAAUAUAAAGAUAUAGACCAGAAUUAUCUUUUUCUAAUCUAAAGGCUUUGUACAGUAUUGAUAUUGCAUAUUUUAAGUAUGAACAUUUAUUAAGGCAUGUGCUUGUCUAAAAAACAUGUACUUUUUGCAAAGUAAUUAAUUUUAAAGUAAUAUACAGUGAUAAGCAUUAGCAGUGUAAUAGACAAGUAUACAUUUCUAUGGUUCUCUGUUUUGUAAAAAACUAGGCUCUUCAGUGCUACUGUAGCAUACUAAUGUGUAGUAUUAUCCAUUAAUACUUUGAGGCCUGAUUCAAGCAUCUUUGCAUUGCACUGUCCAUUAUCUCGUGAAUAACUUCACUGAUAUCAAAUAAAGUCAAUGGAGUUGUGAUAAUUUAUGACAGCAGAGGAUCUGGAUCUAACAGUUAUUCACAACAAAUAUUUAGAAGAGCAAUGAUGAAUCAUUAUUGGUAAGCACGAACCUGCUCGAUUAGGCCCUAAUUAAACUCUGAAUUAAAAAUCAUAUUCAAAACUCUAGGAGGUUCAGUAGCUAUAGAGAACAUUUCAGUAUGCCACAGUUGCCAGUAAAUAAUUUAACAUUAUUGUUCCAAAAGUCUUGGGCUUAAAAUACAAAGCGAUGUUAGGGUGAUGUUGCUAAAUCAUGCUGUCAGGUGGGCAGUCAGAAUAUUGGAGCAAUUAGACAUAACAGAUUCAUUUUGGAACAUACAUUGAAACAUACAAACAUACAUUGAAAAUGUUACUACUGUAGUUUUGUAGCCAUAGUAACAUAAUACAAAAUACCUAUAAAAGUAGAGCUUUAAUUUUUUUAGUAAGUAAAUCAUCCUUCCUUCUUGUGUAUGGCAGUUUGAUAAAUAUAUAUAAAAAGAAAUAAAAAUGGAGGUUUAAAAAGUGGUAUGUUGUGUAUUCAAUUUAAAAAAAUAUUCAAAUUCCCAAGAGAGCUCAAGAAAAUAUUAAAAAUACUAUAGAAAUAAAAAGGAUAAGAUAUUUGUCACUCUCAUUUAAAUUGAUGUAUGCUGCUGUCCUAUAAACGUCACAUCGGAUAACCCUGAAAAAUUACCAUGAAUCUCCAUAAUUACGCAUAUUCAUGAUGGUGUUUUGCAUAGCACUAGCAGCAGACUGUAUGUGGAGAGAUGGGGAGGGCUGAAGAAAAACUGAAUGAUUUGACAGACUAAAAUUAUUAUCAGCAUCCUAGAAACAGACACAGCAACAGUUCCAUUUGGUUUGGUUUGUAAAAAUAAAACAAAACCCACAGUGGUACUCGUAGUAUAAUUACAUAAAUAAAAAAAUUCUACUACAUAUUUUGUCAUAAAAUGUUAACAAGGAUAAACUGCUGAGGCAUGCCAGUGCUAAUUUAAAGGUUCUUUUUUUUACUAUUGACAGUUGAAGACAGAACCAGCAAUGAGAAAAGCAAAGGAAUAUUUUUCAAAAAUGUCUUGUUUGUUGCAUUUCCUAUUUUUUUACAUGAUGCAGAUGAGCCGAGUGUGAAUUAUGUAGGUACGUUGUUGUUUCUGUGACAAAGAUGUAGCCCAAGCAAUAUUCAGUAAAUUGUUAAAAGGCUAUGAGAGAUAGAAAGGUUGUCCUGUGUCUAGCUCAAUAGGUUUUUGUGCUGAAGCGAAGAGCAGAGUUAAUCAGGGGCUCUAGAAGUAAUUAUCGACAGAAUUUGGGUAGUACAAAUGCUUGGGUAAACAGCGAUUGUUCUUUCCACAAGAUUCCGAAUAGAAACAACAAUACUGGUAUUGUCCUCCACUUCUCAUUAAGGGGAUUCAGAGAUGGAGCUGAACACUCUGAGGCGGAUGGGAAACUGACAGGCAAACUGUGCUCUGAACGAAUCUCUCAUGAUCCCACUACAACAGGCUCUGGCUUUUGGCAUCAGCAGUGCCAGCUGCAUUGGGAGAAGCCAAGCCUGUCAUACUAUCUUCUCAUCAAAUCUUCAAUAUACAGAGGCAAAAGCAUAGUUAGAGCUUAAUGAAGAAACAAAUACAAAAGAGAAGAUUAGGCCUUGUUAACACUUGCAUUCAUUUGUCCUUGUAAAAAUUGCAAUAAAUGGGUUGCUUUAUAGAACUCAUUCUUUUUCUAAAAAAAAUAGAGGAAAGUUAUGUUGAUGAAGUGUUGUUUUUCUAAAUACUUUUUUUAGAUCAUGUCAUUGGCAUAUAAACAUAAACUAGCAAAUUGCUUUGUCAAAAUAUCCAUUUGAACAGUUUUGUCAAUGACAACUGUCAGAGUCCAUAAACAUACUUUAAAAAUGUUGAUAUUCAUAAUAUUGUACCUUGUUCCAUCUAAAGUGUUUAUUUACAUACUUUUCUAAAAAUUGUUUGCUUCUGGAAAGUAAUCUCAUGGCACUUUGUGUUGUUAUUCAAGACAAUCAGUUCUUCAAGGCUAAUUGUUUACAUUUUGAUGGCUCCAGAACUUACUUCAUGAGUAGUCCCACUGAUUUCAAUAGUAUAUAUAUGGGAUAAAAUACUACUCACUGUGAUCAAGUGGUUCAUAAUUUGGCUGCCUAAUUCUAUUUUACCUCCAUGAGCUACAUUUAUUAUGUCCUUAAUCAGGGCCCAAUCCUGCAACACAUCAUUGCACAAGUAGAACUCCCAAAAGCCCAUGGGCAUUCAAUGAUUGGAGGGUUGGAAGAAUCAGGGUCUCAGUCUUUAAUCACAAAACCUUCAUCGCCUGCUACUGGAGUUUAGCCAGGAUAGGUGUAAAAGGUGGAAAUGUGCACACAGUAGCUUUCAGAGAGAACUUCAGGAUUUGGCCUUCUAUUAAUUGUAUUUGAGAAAAAAAUGUGUAUGUACAGGUUUACACUAAAGUAGACAGUAAGUCUGACAAGCAUAAUGCCACAGUUUUUAUUGUUGUAAGUAAUCAUUCAAUGGCACAAAGGUGAAUUGUAUGUAGAUCCACUAUAAAAUGUAUAUUGGUUAAUGCUACAUUUAUCUGUCAACCACAAAUAUUGGCACAUUAUGUUUUUAAUGCCCUAAUACUGUUUAAAAAACAAAAACAAAAAUACCCCAAGACAUUUUAAUUGAAUAAUUUGUUUACCAUGUUGUACAAUGUGCAUACAAGAAGCAUCCAUAAUACACCUUAGAUUCAAAACCUUAUAUGCAUGUUUAAUGAAAACAAUAUUUCUAAAAGAAAAUAAUGCAGAAGAAUGUGCACAUUAUCUUGUUCUAAGAAACAUUUGAUUCUUAUCCAUUUUUGCACAGUUUGUGAGUAAGUUUCAUAAGCAGAAUACUGUCUUUUCUUCUGUUUGCAUAAUGACAGGCUGUGUUUCAGCAAAAUAUGUGUAAGGGACAUUUAAUUGUCUCCAAUAAGAAACUUGUUUCAUCUAUGAAAACUAUUAAAUAAAAUAAACUGACAUUUAAAUAUAUCUAUAUCUAUUAAUCAUAUACAUAGUUUGGCUAUGUAAACAUUUAAAAAUAUAGGUCCCUGAAAGCCUAAAGUAUUUAUUAGACAAAAGCAGACUUUGGGUGUGAUUAUUUUCAUAUACUGACUCACUGCAGGGUCCAUGACAAGAAGAGUAAGAAGUAUUUAUGGUAGAUGAUGCAAGUGAUUUGCAGAAAUAAGGCCCCAUAUCACAAGGUCUCUAGCCCCUACAUUUUCAAUGAAGUGUGACAAUGUGAGUGAGCUGAGCUGAAUUUGGCCCAUUUUGGGAAGUAUGAGUUGCUUAGCACCUCCUGAACAAUUUGGAGCUCCCUGAGUGUGUCUUCUUACAUCCAUGCAUGGACUCUAUGUACAUGGAUACAUUAGCAGUUUUCUAUUGAUGAACUUCACUGUGUUGUGGAGGCCCUCAAUGUAAUUUAAGAUUUGGGCCCUAGGAAUGAAUGAGACUACUUUCAUGGGUAGAGUUACUGAUGUAAGUAUUUGUUUGAAGGACUGGGCCCAGAUACAGUAUAGCAGUUUGCAGACAUAUUGCUUCAGGAUGAAUGCAGGUAUUUUCAAAAAAGUCAUUUUGCUCACUAGUAUUCAUUAAAUGUAUGUCAUAAUUACAUACUGUAUGUUUCAACUAUCAAUAUAAAUAUUUUAAACAAACUUUAGACAUUGUAUUUUUGGAAUAAACAUCAUUCACACAAACUUCAGUUAUUCAGAACAAAAGGAAGCAGUGCUAACUUGCAACCAUUAUGCAUGUGAAAGCACUAUUGACUUCAGUUAAGACUACUCAUGUGAUUAAAAUUUCUUAUGUUCUUAAGAAUUUGUAAAUUGUAUUUUAAUAAUGUCAUCUCUCUAUUACAAAAAAAAAAUCCUGGCUUUCUCAAAAAAGAUAAAGAUUAUGAAAAGGUGAUAAAUGAUGUCAUCACUCACCAAGAUUGUGCUAAAAUGCCAAUUUAUGUGAAUCUGCAAAAUUGUUAAUGAGCAGACACAUGAGUAUGUUAGAAAAACAAACACUCAUGCUAAUUCAGUGCUCUUCUUUUAGGGCUAGAGCAGGAGUUUCAAACUCCCCAUCCUUGGGCCAUCUACAGGCCAGAGCGUAUUUGCAAUCUAGCCCAGGAGACCUGGUAUCCCAG